UGCGUAAUAGAGAAAUUCCCAACUCGAUC
rnacentral:piRNA from 1 species